GCGGACGUGACGGAAUUGGGAGACGUUUUGGCCUCAGAAGCCAAAGGGGUUUUCCCCGUGUGGGUUCAAAUCCCACCGUCCGCA
rnacentral:tRNA from 1 species